rnacentral:rRNA from 1 species
CCUACGGGUGGCAGCAGUGGGGGAUAUUGCACAAUGGGGGAAACCCUGAUGCAGCGACGCCGCGUGAGUGAAGAAGGAUCUCGGUAUGUAAAGCUCUGUUCGUGGUGAAGAAAAUGACGGUAGCCAAGGAGGAAGCUCCGGCUAACUACGUGCCAGCAGCCGCGGUAAUACGUAGGGGGCGAGCGUUGUCCGGAUUUACUGUGUGUAAAGGGUGCGCAGACGGCACUGCAAGUCAGGAGUGAAAGCUCGGGGCUUAACCCCUAAAUUGCGCUUGAAACUGUGGGGCUGGAGUGAAGGAGGGGCAGGCGGAAUUCCCGGUGUAGCGGUGAAAUGCGUAGAGAUUGGGAGGAACACCAGUGGCGAAGGCGGCCUGCUGGACUGUAACUGACGCUCAGGCACGAAAGCGUGGGGAGCAAACAGGAUUAGAUACCCGUGUAGUC